GACGAACGCUGGCGGCGUGCUUAACACAUGCAAGUCGAACGGAAAGGCCCUGCUUGCGGGGUACUCGAGUGGCGAACGGGUGAGUAACACGUGGGUGAUCUGCCCUGCACUUCGGGAUAAGCCUGGUAAACUGGGUCUAAUACCGGAUAGGAGCCAUUUUUAGCGUGAUGGUUGGAAAGUUUUUUCGGUGUAGGAUGAGCUCGCGGCCUAUCAGCUUGUUGGAGGGGUAAUGGCCUACCAAGGCGGCUACGGGUAGCCGGCCUGAGAGGGUGGACGGCGACAUUGGGACUGGGGUACGGCCCAGACUCCUACGGGAGGCAGCAGUGGGGAAUAUUGCACAAUGGGCGCAAGCCUGAUGCAGCGACGCCGCGUGGGGGAUGACGGCCUUCGGGUUGUAAACUCCUUUCGCUAGGGACGAAGCUUUUUGUGACGGUACCUAGAUAAGAAGCACCGGCUAACUACGUG
rnacentral:rRNA from 1 species